UACGUAGGUGGCGAGCGUUGUCCGGAAUUACUGGGCGUAAAGGGCGUGUAGGCGGGGAGGCAAGUCAGAUGUGAAAUCCCGAGGCUUAACUUCGGAGCUGCAUCUGAAACUGUUUCUCUUGAGUACUGGAGAGGAAAGUGGAAUUCCCAGUGUAGCGGUGAAAUGCGUAGAGAUUGGGAGGAACACCAGUGGCGAAGGCGGCUUUCUGGACAGUAACUGACGCUGAGGCGCGAAAGCGUGGGGAGCAAACAGG
rnacentral:rRNA from 1 species